GACGAACGCUGGCGGCGUGCCUAACACAUGCAAGUCGAACGGAGAUUUACGUCAACACAAAGCUCUUCACGUAAGAGUAAUGUGGAGGGUUUUGAGUUGAUGUAAAUCUUAGUGGCGAACGGGUGAGUAACGCGUGAGCAACCUACCAAGGAGAGGGGGAUAACACAGAGAAAUCUGUGCUAAUACCGCAUAAAGUCACGAUAUCGCAUGGUAUGGUGAUGAAAGGGCUUUUGCCUGCUUCUUGAUGGGCUCGCGUCUGAUUAGCUAGUUGGUAGGGUAACGGCCUACCAAGGCGAUGAUCAGUAGCCGGGCUGAGAGGUUGACCGGCCACAUUGGGACUGAGACACGGCCCAGACCUCCUACGGGAGGCAGCAGUGGGAAUAUUGCGCAAGUGGGGGAACCCUGACGCAGCGACGCCGCGUGAAGGAAGAAGGUCUUCGGAUUGUAAACUUUUGUCUUUGGUGACGAUAAUGACGGUAGCCAAGGAGGAAGCCACGGCUAACG
rnacentral:rRNA from 1 species